GAUGAACGCUGGCGGCGUACCUAAUACAUGCAAGUCGAGCGAACAGACGAGGCGCUUGCUCCUCUGACGUUAGCGGCGGACGGGUGAGUAACACGUGGAUAACCUACCUAUAAGACUGGGAUAACUUCGGGAAACCGGAGCUAAUACCGGAUAAUAUAUUGAACCGCAUGGUUCAAUAGUGAAAGACGGUUUUGCUGUCACUUAUAGAUGGAUCCGCGCCGCAUUAGCUAGUUGGUAAGGUAACGGCUUACCAAGGCAACGAUGCGUAGCCGACCUGAGAGGGUGAUCGGCCACACUGGAACUGAGACACGGUCCAGACUCCUACGGGAGGCAGCAGUAGGGAAUCUUCCGCAAUGGGCGAAAGCCUGACGGAGCAACGCCGCGUGAGUGAUGAAGGUCUUCGGAUCGUAAAACUCUGUUAUUAGGGAAGAACAAAUGUGUAAGUAACUAUGCACGUCUUGACGGUACCUAAUCAGAAAGCCACGGCUAACUACGUG
rnacentral:rRNA from 1 species